AACGAACGCUGGCGGCAUGCCUAACACAUGCAAGUCGAACGAGACCUUCGGGUCUAGUGGCGCACGGGUGCGUAACGCGUGGGAACCUGCCCUUAGGUUCGGAAUAACUCCCCGAAAGGGGUGCUAAUACCGGAUAAUGUCUUCGGACCAAAGAUUUAUCGCCUUUGGAUGGGCCCGCGUUGGAUUAGCUAGUUGGUAGGGUAAAAGCCUACCAAGGCGACGAUCCAUAGCUGGUCUGAGAGGAUGAUCAGCCACACUGGGACUGAGACACGGCCCAGACUCCUACGGGAGACAGCAGUGGGGAAUAUUGGACAAUGGGCGAAAGCCUGAUCCAGCAAUGCCGCGUGAGUGAUGAAGGCCUUAGGGUUGUAAAGCUCUUUUACCCGGGAUGAUAAUGACAGUACCGGGAGAAUAAGCUCCGGCUAACUCCGUGC
rnacentral:rRNA from 1 species